rnacentral:rRNA from 1 species
AGGAACGUUGAAGACGAUGACGUUGAUAGGCCGGGUGUGUAAGCGCAGCGAUGCGUUGAGCUAACCGGUACUAAUGAACCGUGAGGCUUAACCUUACAACGCCGAAG